GUCAACAUCUGUCUCAAAAGGAGCUGAGAGGCUGAGGAUGAAAUGCUUGUGUUGUUUAUCUGCAUCUCACUUAGGCUGAAAGUAUAUUGCAGUGCACAGUGCUGGUGCAUUUGCACAUCAGCCAGUGAAAUCCAUGUGAGUAGAAAAUGUGCAUUUUCUCAGUCUGGAUAUUGGCAGAGGGAUCAUCUAUCACCUGCCUUUCCUGGCUAGCAUGGGCCUGCAUUUGUUCUGAUGAUGCCCUGAGAAGAAUGAACUGUUGGGGAGAUUCAAAAGUCCUUUAUCUGUGGUGAUGGCCCUCUGAGACAAAUAGCAGAAUGUGAGAGAGGAAAAGUGUUUUCUCUCAAUUUAUGCUCAAUUAGAAUAAGUUGAAAUAUAUGGGAAGUAUAAAACAAUUUACUCUGUAUUCUCCAGAGAUCAAUUAACUAGGAAUAUUGAGAACUUUUAUUAAAAAGAGGCAUAACAAAGAUAUCCUAUCACACCACUCUUUUCUUUUCUUGUGAAUUCUCUGCACCAAAGAUUU
rnacentral:lncRNA from 1 species